rnacentral:rRNA from 1 species
CCUACGGGAGGCAGCAGUGGGGAAUAUUGGGCAAUGGGCGAAAGCCUGACCCAGCAACGCCGCGUGAAGGAAGAAGGCUUUCGGGUUGUAAACUUCUUUUGACAGGGAAGAGCAGCAGACGGUACCUGUCGAAUAAGCCACGGCUCACUACGUGCCAGCCGCCGGGGUAAUACGUAGGUGGCACGCUGUGUCCGGGUUUGCUGGGGGUAAAGGGCGUGUAGGGGGGAGCGCAAGGCAGAUGGGAAAACUCAGGGCUCAACCCUGAGCCUGCAGUUGAAACUGUGGUUCCUGAGUGCUGGAGAGGCAAUCGGAAUGCCGGGUGUAGCGGUGAAAUGCGUAGAUAUACGGAGGAACACCAGUGGCGAAGGCGGAUUGCCGGACAGUAACUGACGCUGAGGCGCGAAAGCGUGGGGAGCAAACAGGAUUAGAUACCCCUGUAGUC